rnacentral:rRNA from 1 species
GGAUGAACGCUGGCGGCGUGCCUAAUACAUGCAAGUCGAGCGAACGGACGAGAAGCUUGCUUCUCUGAUGUUAGCGGCGGACGGGUGAGUAACACGUGGAUAACCUACCUAUAAGACUGGGAUAACUUCGGGAAACCGGAGCUAAUACCGGAUAAUAUUUUGAACCGCAUGGUUCAAAAGUGAAAGACGGUCUUGCUGUCACUUAUAGAUGGAUCCGCGCUGCAUUAGCUAGUUGGUAAGGUAACGGCUUACCAAGGCAACGAUGCAUAGCCGACCUGAGAGGGUGAUCGGCCACACUGGAACUGAGACACGGUCCAGACUCCUACGGGAGGCAGCAGUAGGGAAUCUUCCGCAAUGGGCGAAAGCCUGACGGAGCAACGCCGCGUGAGUGAUGAAGGUCUUCGGAUCGUAAAACUCUGUUAUUAGGGAAGAACAUAUGUGUAAGUAACUGUGCACAUCUUGACGGUACCUAAUCAGAAAGCCACGGCUAACUACG